AUACGGAGGGUCCAAGCGUUAUCCGGAAUCAUUGGGUUUAAAGGGUCCGCAGGCGGUCAAUUAAGUCAGAGGUGAAAGCCCAUCGCUCAACGAUGGAACUGCCUUUGAUACUGGUUGACUUGAGUUAUACGGAAGUAGAUAGAAUAAGUAGUGUAGCGGUGAAAUGCAUAGAUAUUACUUAGAAUACCGAUUGCGAAGGCAGUCUACUACGUAUAUACUGACGCUCAGGGACGAAAGCGUGGGGAGCGAACAGGAUUAGAAACCCCAGUAGUCC
rnacentral:rRNA from 1 species